UAACACGUGAGUAACCUGCCCUUGACUUUGGGAUAACUUCAGGAAACUGGGGCUAAUACCGGAUAGGAGCUCCUGCUGCAUGGUGGGGGUUGGAAAGUUUCGGCGGUUGGGGAUGGACUCGCGGCUUAUCAGCUUGUUGGUGGGGUAGUGGCUUACCAAGGCUUUGACGGGUAGCCGGCCUGAGAGGGUGACCGGCCACAUUGGGACUGAGAUACGGCCCAG
rnacentral:rRNA from 1 species